UGCACAGCUCUUGGGCGAGUAAAAUUCCACUAUUGGCAUAAAAAUGAUGCAACAGAAUAACCCGUCUGACUCUGCCCUGUUUCAGUUCGAGUGCUAUUAACAAAGUCUUUAACAAAUUAAGGGCCGCAGGACAAGAAGGCAUUUCAGUAGUCUUACAGUGACUUCCCAGAGUACUAAGAACAUAUGCAAUAUUUUGAAGACUAUAGCUGCACCUACAGCUCUUGGACACACCAGUGACACUUGCACUUAUCUCAGACGCACAACAAAGUGGGAGUGAGCAUGGUACAGUAAGCAUGGACUUUGCAAAACCAACUUAAACAUACACACUCUCUUACAAAAGGUACUAUAACAAAAAUACCAAUUAACAACAGAAAUAAUGAGGGGUACUACUGCAAAAUUGUAGAUGA